rnacentral:rRNA from 1 species
CCCCUUUGGGGGUGUUGGGGACUCACGGGAGACCGCCGGGGUCAACUCGGAGGAAGGUGGGGACGACGUCAAGUCAUCAUGCCCCUUAUGUCUUGGGCUGCACACGUGCUACAAUGGCCGGUACAAUGAGCUGCGAUACCGCGAGGUGGAGCGAAUCUCAAAAAGCCGGUCUCAGUUCGGAUUGGGGUCUGCAACUCGACCCCAUGAAGUCGGAGUCGCUAGUAAUCGCAGAUCAGCAUUGCUGCGGUGAAUACGUUCCCGGGCCUUGUACACACCGCCCGUCACGUCACGAAAGUCGGUAACACCCGAAGCCGGUGGCCCAACCCCUUGUGGGAGGGA